GAUGAACGCUGGCGGCGUGCCUAAUACAUGCAAGUCAAGCGAACAGACGAGGAGCUUGCUCCUUUGACGUUAGCGGCGGACGGGUGAGUAACACGUGGAUAACCUACCUAUAAGACUGGGAUAACUUCGGGAAACCGGAGCUAAUACCGGAUAACAUGUUGAACCGCAUGGUUCAACAGUGAAAGACGGUUUUGCUGUCACUUAUAGAUGGAUCCGCGCCGCAUUAGCUAGUUGGUAAGGUAACGGCUUACCAAGGCAACGAUGCGUAGCCGACCUGAGAGGGUGAUCGGCCACACUGGAACUGAGACACGGUCCAGACUCCUACGGGAGGCAGCAGUAGGGAAUCUUCCGCAAUGGGCGAAAGCCUGACGGAGCAACGCCGCGUGAGUGAAGAAGGUCUUCGGAUCGUAAAACUCUGUUAUUAGGGAAGAACAAAUGUGUAAGUAACUAUGCACGUCUUGACGGUACCUAAUCAGAAAGCCACGGCUAACUACGUGC
rnacentral:rRNA from 1 species